GCUUAUCAAGAAAGGUGGAGGGAAUAGGCCCUGAGAAACCUUGGCAACCGUCCUAAAAAUGGAAAAGGUGCCAAAUCCUAUCCGCAAAGGCGGAAAAGAUAAG
rnacentral:ncRNA from 1 species